AUACAGGACAAAAGAGAAGGUGUGUGCAGCCUCACUGAACUUGGGUGAUUUGACAUGGCUCUGGACAUCUUCAGAAGUAUAAGCUGUGGAAGAUUUGGAAUGUGAUGAAAAUCAGUAACAAUGGAAGGAAUUAGAAGGCGAAUAGUGGAACCAAAAAAAUUAAAGGCAAAUGCCUUCCUUGAAAUCCAUUUUAGAUGCAAGAGACUUUGUGAGUCAAGAUGUGAAGAAACAAAAAACCAGACGUGAAAAGGCAAGCCGUUGCUUUGGACAUGUGUUCCUGGUUACGAUGGAUGGGCAGCUCCCAGCAGAAAACAACAAGCCUAUGGAUGGCUGAAGCCUACUGGAACCUCCAAUAAAGCCUUUCUUGCUUUUAAGUUGACCAUCUCAGCAGCAAACUAACAGUCACAUUUCCUGAUUCCUGAGUCCACCCCAGUACCCUUCUUAUGAACCGCUCUAAACUGUUCCUAACUUUAUUCCUACUACAGAAGGAGAAAAAAAGGCCGUUUUUUGUCAUGGCCACUCUUUGCUGGGUUUUGUUUGUUGAGCAUUUGCCCUUCUCCCCAAUGUUCUUUUGUGUUUAGGUGAGAUUUUGUUGGUGGUAGUUAUGUUUUUUAACAUUCAAAAUAUAGCUCAGGCUAGCUUCACACUCAUUAUUUAGACAUGAAUAGCUUUGACUCCCUGAUCAUCGUUCCUCUGGGUACUAGAUGACAGGUGUGGGCCACUAUCCCUAUACUUUCUCUUGUUUACUUUGUCUCACAGAAUGAGCACUACUGAAGACAUUGCAAGACUGGGUGAACUUCAGUUAUCGCUGUCAUACGGGACACACAUUUAUAUGCAGAAUAUUUAUAUUGUAUAUAUGUAAUACAGUAUUUAUUAAAAGUUGUUCAUUUAAACAA